rnacentral:rRNA from 1 species
GUCAAAGCGUUCAUUAAAGUCGAGUUGGCUUAGGGAUACGUUCGUUGGGUAGGGGAGCGUUCUGUAAGCCUGUGAAGGUGUGUCGUGAGGCAUGCUGGAGGUAUCAGAAGUGCGAAUGCUGACAUAAGUAACGAUAAAGCGGGUGAAAAGCCCGCUCGCCGGAAGACCAAGGGUUCCUGUCCAACGUUAAUCGGGGCAGGGUGAGUCGACCCCUAAGGCGAGGCCGAAAGGCGUAGUCGAUGGGAAACGGGUUAAUAUUCCCGUACUUGGUGUUACUGCGAAGGGGGGACGGAGAAGGCUAUGUUGGCCGGGCGACGGUUGUCCCGGUUUAAGCGUGUAGGUGUGUGUUCCAGGUAAAUCCGGUUCACUUUAACACUGAGGCGUGACGACGAGGCACUACGGUGCUGAAGCAACAAAUGCCCUGCUUCCAGGAAAAGCCUCUAAGCAUCAGGUAACAUCAAAUCGUACCCCAAACCGACACAGGUGGUCAGGUAGAGAAUACCAAGGCGCUUGAGAGAACUCGGGUGAAGGAACUAGGCAAAAUGGUGCCGUAACUUCGGGAGAAGGCAC